GGAUGUGAGGGCGAUCUGGCUGCAACAUCUGUCACCCCAUUGAUCGCCAGGGUUGAUUCGGCUGAUCUGGCUGGCUAGGUGGGUGUCCCUUUCCUCUUCUCACCACUCCAUGUGCAUCCCUACUGAAGCUGCGCACUGGGUCGAAGAGGACGGACUUCCACAAAUAGAGAUAUUGUUGGUUUAACAAG
rnacentral:snRNA from 1 species